UACGUAGGGGGCAAGCGUUGUCCGGAAUCAUUGGGCGUAAAGAGCGCGUAGGCGGCCCGGUAAGUCCGCUGUAAAAGUCCAGGGCUCAACCCUGGAAAGCCGGUGGAUACUGUCGGGCUAGAGUCCGGAAGAGGCGAGUGGAAUUCCUGGUGUAGCGGUGGAAUGCGCAGAUAUCAGGAGGAACACCAAUAGCGAAGGCAGCUCGCUGGGACGGUGCUGACGCUAAGGCGCGAAAGCGUGGGGAGCGAACAGG
rnacentral:rRNA from 1 species